rnacentral:rRNA from 1 species
GUCUAUGGCCAUGCCACCCUGAACAAGCCCGAUCCCAUCUGAUCUCGGAAGCUAAACAGGGUAGGGCCUGGUUAGUACUUGGAUAGGAGAGACUACCUAGGAAGACCAGGUGCUGUAGACG